rnacentral:rRNA from 1 species
UACGAGUGCCCCGAGCGUUAUCCGGAUUUAUUGGGCGUACAGCGUGCGCAGGCGGUCAAGUAAGUCAUAUGUCAAAUCUCGGAGCUCAACUCCGAGGCUGCGGGUGAAACUCCUUGACUUGAGGCUAGGAGAGGUAGAUGGAAUUGCCGGUGUAGCGGUAAAAUGCGGUAAUAUCGGCAAGAACACCAAAUGCGAAAGCUUUCUACUAGAACAGAUCUGACGCUGAUGCGCGAAAGCGUGGGGAGCGAAUGGG